rnacentral:rRNA from 1 species
UACGAGGGGUGCAAGCGUUGCUCGGAAUUACUGGGCGUAAAGCGCACGUAGGCGGAUUGUUAAGUUAGGGGUGAAAUCCCAGGGCUCAACCCUGGAACUGCCUUUAAUACUGGCAAUCUCGAGUCCGAGAGAGGUGAGUGGAAUUCCGAGUGUAGAGGUGAAAUUCGUAGAUAUUCGGAGGAACACCAGUGGCGAAGGCGGCUCACUGGCUCGGUACUGACGCUGAGGUGCGAAAGCGUGGGGAGCAAACAGG